AAAAAAUCUAUGUUCCCAGAAAAUCAAGGGUUCCCACGUUGUCCAAAUUCAAGAUGGCCGCCAAGAUGGCCGCCAAAAAUUAAAGAAAAUACCAUUUUUGCUUAAAAUACAAAUACAACACUCUUUUUUCACCGUUUGAAUUCAUUUUUUUAUCAAAAUGAUCGGAACCGCGUAGAAUUUCGGAUAUAUAAGCAAAGUUUCACUAUAAAAAGCGUAACUUUUUGAAAAAUGCCUUAAAAUAUGCCAAAAAGGGGGUAAAAACGUGUCUUUUUUGGCAUCUGGCUGCUUCCAAUUCGGCUCAGAAACUUAUUUUACCUCUUAUACUAUAUUUUUUCACAUUUAUUUACAGAUAUAUGUUGACCAAGUACAAAGAAAAACAUAAAGUUCAGAUAUGAAAGGAAAUAUGAAUUUAAGGGACUCUCAAUAUAAGUCGGGUAAUUACCUGAAAAUACCCGAAAAUUACCUGAAUAAUACAUGAUGUAUAUAUAAUAAUUUAUUUCUAUAUAUAUAAGAGUUUUAUUAUAAAUACAAAACAUGUAUGUUGUCAUUGUAUUUCUCUUUUAGUAUUGUCUCGAUAUAAAAGUAAGUCAAAGCCAUUUUUAUAGAUGGAAGGUAGAUUCACAAAUUACGCAGUUACUCCCCUUUGAUAUAAUUAAGCCAUGAAAUCAUCUGAAAGUUUCCAAUGUCAUUGAAGAACACACGAAGUUUACCGACGAAUUUGCACAGAUUUUUAGAGUAGAUUGUACCAGAAGGCAAUGAUUGAGGAUAGCUAUUCAUACUGAUAAUUAAUCUGACAAGUGGCUGUAGAGUCCCAAUGCACCACCAUGUUGACAUGGUACGUGCCAUAAAUGCAUUAUAAUUUAUUCUCAUCUGUUUAGAAGACACUUCAUUUGGCUUAGUCAGAAUGGGACCUUAAAUGAAGAUGCAUUAUUGUACCGUAUAUGAAACAACACAAGAAUGAUCCAGAAGAAGUAAAACUACUCUGCACAUACUCCACUACUGAGCCCUGCCUUACAGGCCUUGUUCCCAAGCUAAUGCCAGCUGAGCUGUGGAUACACCAGUAAGUUUGAACAUAAAAUGUGUAAUUCAACCAUUGGAAGUGUGGGUUGGUUGAUGUUGUCUCGCUCUCAGACAGUUUUAAUAAUUUAUUAGAAAUGUGAAAAAUGUGCAUUGAAAUA